rnacentral:rRNA from 1 species
UAGGGAAUCUUCCGCAAUGGACGCAAGUCUGACGGAGCAACGCCGCGUGAGUGAAGAAGGAUUUCGGUUCGUAAAACUCUGUUGUUAGAGAAGAACAGCGCAUAGAGUAACUGUUAUGCGUGUGACGGUAUCUAACCAGAAAGCCACGGCUAACUACGUGCCAGCAGCCGCGGUAAUACGUAGGUCCCGAGCGUUGUCCGGAUUUAUUGGGCGUAAAGCGAGCGCAGGCGGUUAGAAAAGUCUGAAGUGAAAGGCAGUGGCUCAACCAUUGUAGGCUUUGGAAACUGUUUAACUUGAGUGCAGAAGGGGAGAGUGGAAGUCCAUGUGUAGCGGUGAAAUGCGUAGAUAUAUGGAGGAACACCGGUGGCGAAAGCGGCUCUCUGGUCUGUAACUGACGCUGAGGCUCGAAAGCGUGGGGAGCGAACAGG